UACGUAGGUGGCAAGCGUUGUCCGGAAUCAUUGGGCGUAAAGAGCGUGUAGGCGGCCACUUAAGUCCUGCGUGAAAUCUUGCGGCUCAACCGCAAGCGGUCGUGGGAAACUGGGUGGCUAGAGUGCGGGAGAGGAGAGUGGAAUUCCUGGUGUAGCGGUGGAAUGCGCAGAUAUCAGGAAGAACACCCGUGGCGAAGGCGGCUCUCUGGAACGCAACUGACGCUGAGACGCGAAAGCGUGGGGAGCAAACAGG
rnacentral:rRNA from 1 species